rnacentral:rRNA from 1 species
AUGCGAGCUCCGCGCUCCCACCGUCACGCGUGCCCCGCGCCCUAUAUGCCCAGGCUAACUCCUAUAAUGGAUCCCGGGGGGGUCCUAUCCUCCGGCGCUGAAGGGGACGGCGGCCUGAAGAACGACGAGUCUCAGAGGAGGACGAGCGGCGGGUGUAGCUGGUGCUCAACCGGGAGAGCGCGCACCUGUCGCUGCAGAGGAAGAAGCAGCGCUCGCCGCCACCCUUCACCACGUCCGCCGCCUCCCCCUCGUGCCGCGAGGCGCCUCACCGGCCGGAUCCACUCGAUCUGGGCACGCCACUACCACAUCCCUCGAGUUGUGGACGCGCCAGCCUUAACGCCAUCUCCUUCCACAUGCUGGCGUACUACUCGCGUGGACGCUCGCCACGAUCUGGAUGUCGCGCAGCCUCAGCAGCCUGACGCCACCCAUGAAUCAGGCCUAAUUACUUGGCCGUGA